rnacentral:misc_RNA from 1 species
GAUGAAGAACGCAGCGAACUGCGAUAAGUAAUGUGAAUUGCAGAAUUCAGUGAAUCAUCGAGUCUUUGAACGCACAUUGCGCCCCUUGGUAUUCCGAGGGGCAUGCCUAUUCGAGCGUCAUUAUCACCCCUCAAGCCUAGCUUGGUGUUGAGACCUGCUGUCAAGGCAGUCUCUAAAAUCAGUGGCAGUGCUGUCAGGCUCUAAGCGUAGUAAAUCUAAUCGCUAUAGACACCUGGUGGACACUCGCCAGAACCCCCCCAUUUUUUAAUGAUUGACCUCGGAUUAGGUAGGGAUACCCGCUGAACUUAAGCAUAUCAAUAAGCGGAGGA